GGUGGUGUGGUGUAAUGGUAGCACGUGACGUUGUGGUUAAGCACACUGAUCCGUUUCAAUCUGGGUUCGAUUCCCAGCACCGCCA
rnacentral:tRNA from 2 species